UACGGAAGGGGCUAGCGUUGUUCGGAAUUACUGGGCGUAAAGAGCGCGUAGGCGGCUUACCAAGUUGGGGGUGAAAUCCCGGAGCUCAACUCCGGAAGUGCCUUCAAAACUGGUAGGCUCGAGUCCGGAAGAGGGGCGUGGAAUUCCCAGUGUAGAGGUGAAAUUCGUAGAUAUUGGGAAGAACACCGGUGGCGAAGGCGUCGCUCUGGUCCGGUACUGACGCUGAGGCGCGAAAGCGUGGGGAGCAAACAGG
rnacentral:rRNA from 1 species